ACAAGAGGGCACACGCUGAAAUGUCUCGCCUUCUAUACUAAUCAUUGAUAUUAUGUUGAUAGUCCUAAGUAUAAAGCUAAGCUUUAUUACAACUGUCACAUAAACUUAACAUUAACCAAGAUAACUAAAAAAAAGACCAAUGAACCUUGAAAAUGAGGUCAAGGUCAGAUGAAACAUGCCAGGCAGACAUGUACAGCUAACAAUGCUUCUAUAUACAACAUAUAUAGUUGACCCAUUACUUAUAGUUUAAAAAAAA
rnacentral:lncRNA from 1 species